rnacentral:lncRNA from 1 species
UUUUUUUUUAGUUAAAAUUCCUUAAUUUUUUAUUCCUGGUACCACACCACAAUUUAUAGGGCAAUAUAUUUGAUAUAAGGGAAAAAAAAGACUAUGAUUCAACAGAUAAAAGACCUCAGGAAUGUACAUCUGAUUGACACUGUAUUAACCAGUAACUACAUUGCAUUAACCAAUAGCUACACUUUUUGCAAACUGUGGCUAUGACAUCACAAGAAGGGUUUCCUGUUUAAGCUGCAAUAACUCUGACUAUGGAUCAUCAUUUCUUCUGUGUCAGAUUUUUGCAGUUAUUCUAAUGUUUUUGUGAUGAUUGUCUCAAAGUAACCUGUAGCUUUUCUGACAACUCCUCAUUCUCUCUCUUACUAAGAACUGUAGCCUUUUUAUACUGUUUUAAAAACCUUCUUCCACAUUCCACCAUAGUCUCCACCAGAUCCAUACCCACCAACACAGGGACUGCCAGAGCUGCUCUUAUCAAAACUGCCUGCCUUCAUGGGUUUAUAAUUUGAUUUCUGUUGUUCACUGUAAUUUCCAAAAUUAUUAUAGCUCCAACCACCACGGUGGUUAGUAAUACCAAAAAUUUCUCCUUCAUGUUAUGAUGACAAUGAGGCAUUGUAACCAUAUGACUUCCUUCACUACCACCAUAUCCACCAAUUUGGUUUCCAUAUCCCAGUCUGCCACCACCACUUCUCUACUAUACCCAGAACUGCUACCAUAAUUGUUGUCAUUACCUCCAAAUCCACCUCCACCACCACCACCGUAGCCUCCUUUUCUGAUAGAGUUUCCACCAUGGCCAAAAUUACUUUUGCCACCUCCAAAGUUUCCUUCAUGAUCCAUAAAGUGCCAAAUCUACCCCAAGUUGCUGCAUCUAUGUCUUCAACACACAAGUCACAAGACCUUGGAACAUUUACCAUUAUCAAAUAAUUUGUGAGUGUGCCCUUUCUCAAUAUGUUCUCUUUAACUAUCAUCUGUAGUUUCAGACUUCAGACCACUAACAAACAGCUUCCUCAAUUGUUGUGAUUCCCUUGGAUCAUGCUCCCCACAGUAAGCCCACAGAGGCAAUGAUGGUCAGAGUUCACUUCAUUCCUCUUUAUUGCUGAGUAACAUUCCACUAUAUGGGUGUACCAAAUUUGUUUAUCCAGUUUGUUCAAGGAUAUUUAGGCUGUUUCUGGUAUUUGAUAAUUAUGAUUAUAGCUGCUAUAAACUUUCAUGUGCAAGUUUUUGCAUGAAGGGUAAAUGUCUAAGUAGGCUUGCCAGCUCAUAUGGCAAGUGUAUCUAUAACUUUAUCAGAAAUUGCCAGACUCUUUUCCAGAGUAACUGUACCAUUUUUUCAUUGCUAUAUGAGAGUUUACGUCACAUUCUCAUCAAUAUUUGGUAAGACCAGG